GAUCAAAGUGUAGUAUCUGUUCUCGGCAGCUUAAUAUCUGUUGUGAUCUCCAUUGGGGAUCAAGAUAUUAAACUUAUUUUUGCAAUGAGGCGUAGAUAUUGAAGCUUGCUUCACCUACGCCGCGGGUUGGC
rnacentral:snRNA from 2 species